rnacentral:rRNA from 1 species
GACGAACGCUGGCGGCGUGCCUAACACAUGCAAGUUGAGCGACGAACCAGGGCUUGCCCUGGGGCAAAGCAGCGAACGGGUGAGUAACACGUGGGUACCCUGCCCCGAUGAUCGGGACAACCCGAGGAAACUCGGGCUAAUACCGAAUGUGCUCGCCGGACACCAGUCCGGCGCGUAAAGGAAGCUUCGGCCUCCGCAUCGGGAGGGGCCCGCGGCCAAUUAGCUUGUUGGUGAGGUAACGGCUCACCAAGGCAACGAUGGGUAGCUGGUCUGAGAGGACGAUCAGCCACACUGGGACUGAGACACGGCCCAGACUCCUACGGGAGGCAGCAGUGGGGAAUCUUGCGCAAUGCGCGAAAGCGUGACGCAGCAACGCCGCGUGGGGGAAGAAGGCCUUCGGGUUGUAAACCCCUUUCGGGAGGGACGAAGGUUCGGCGGUGAAUAGCCGUCCGGACUGACGGUACCUCCACAAGAAGCCCCGGCUAACUACGUGCCAGCCGCCGCCGUAACAC